rnacentral:miRNA from 1 species
GGAUUCAAUUAGAAAAUCACCUCAAAAGUCGUCCAAAAAAUCUGAAAAUCUUACCAAAUUUUUAGAUUUUUUUUUCAGAUUUUUUGGACGACUUUUGCGGCGAUUUUUCGAUGACUUC